UACGUAGGGUGCAAGCGUUUAAUCGGAAUUACUGGGCGUAAAGCGUGCGCAGGCGGUUGUGCAAGACCGAUGUGAAAUCCCCGGGCUUAACCUGGGAAUGGCAUUGGUGACUGCACGGCUAGAGUGUGUCAGAGGGGGGUAGAAUUCCACGUGUAGCAGUGAAAUGCGUAGAGAUGUGGAGGAAUACCGAUGGCGAAGGCAGCCCCCUGGGAUAACACUGACGCUCAUGCAACGAAAGCGUGGGGAGCAAACAGG
rnacentral:rRNA from 1 species